GGCCCCAUCGUCUAAUGGUUAGGACGUCGGGUUUUCAUCCCGGCAAUCCGGGUUCGAUUCCCGGUGGGGUCACCA
rnacentral:tRNA from 1 species